UACGGGGGGAGCAAGCGUUGUUCGGAUUUACUGGGCGUAAAGGGCGCGUAGGCGGCCACCGCAAGUCAGUUGUGAAAUCUCUGGGCUUAACCCAGAAAGGUCUACUAAUACUGCGGGGCUAGAGUGCAGAAGGGGCAACUGGAAUUCUCGGUGUAGCGGUGAAAUGCGUAGAUAUCGAGAGGAACACCAGUGGCGAAGGCGACUAACUGGACAUGGUAUUGACGCUGAGGUGCGAAAGCGUGGGGAGCAAACAGG
rnacentral:rRNA from 1 species